AACGUAGGACGCAAGCAUUAUCCGGAAUUACUGGGCGUAAAGAGCGCGCAGGCGGUUAAGUAAGUCAUGUAUGAAAGCUCUGGGCUAAACUCGGAGAGGGGACAUGAUACUGCUAAACUUGAGUGGGUCAGAGGGGUGUAGAAUUCCGCGUGUAGUGGUGAAAUGCGUAGAUAUGCGGAGGAAUACCAGUGGCGAAGGCGACACUCUGGGGCCCAACUGACGCUGAGGCGCGAAAGCAUGGGUAGCGAACGGG
rnacentral:rRNA from 1 species